AUUGAACGCUGGCGGCAGGUCUAACACAUGCAAGUCGAACGGUAACAGGAAGAAGCUUGCUUCUUUGCUGACGAGUGGCGGACGGGUGAGUAAUGUCUGGGAAACUGCCUGAUGGAGGGGGAUAACUACUGGAAACGGUAGCUAAUACCGCAUAACGUCGCAAGACCAAAGAGGGGGACCUUCGGGCCUCUUGCCAUCGGAUGUGCCCAGAUGGGAUUAGCUAGUAGGUGGGGUAACGGCUCACCUAGGCGACGAUCCCUAGCUGGUCUGAGAGGAUGACCAGCCACACUGGAACUGAGACACGGUCCAGACUCCUACGGGAGGCAGCAGUGGGGAAUAUUGCACAAUGGGCGCAAGCCUGAUGCAGCCAUGCCGCGUGUAUGAAGAAGGCCUUCGGGUUGUAAAGUACUUUCAGCGGGGAGGAAGGGAGUAAAGUUAAUACCUUUACUCAUUGACGUUACCCGCAGAAGAAGCACCGGCUAACUCCGUG
rnacentral:rRNA from 1 species